AUCCGGUUCAAAUUCCGGAACCUCUAUAAGUUUMGAGGGCAAGACGCAUGAGGUGAAACCCGGCCGGAGARCGGUAGUUCCGGUCGAAGCAGUUAGCUGAUGAGUGAAAUAGGUAAACCCGUUUCAUGAGGUAAGCUGUGACAGCGAGUGGAGAGAAAGUUGAAACGAAGCGGGUGUAAKCAAGGUGCCGGGAAAUACUGUSUAAGGCUAGGCUUGUAGAGACCGUACCGUAAACCGACACAGGUAGGUGGGAUGAGAAAUCUAAGGCGCUCGAGAGAACUCACGUUAAGGAACUCGGCAAAAUGCACACGUAACUUCGGAAGAAGUGGGCCCCUAUUGGUAAAAUUUUGG
rnacentral:rRNA from 1 species